rnacentral:rRNA from 1 species
AGACCCUUCGGGGUACACGAGCGGCGAACGGGUGAGUAACACGUGGGUAACCUGCCCUGUACUCUGGGAUAAGCCCGGGAAACUGGGUCUAAUACCGGAUAUGACACUUGAAGGCAUCUUCGGGUGUGGAAAGUUCCGGCGGUACAGGAUGGACCCGCGGCCUAUCAGCUUGUUGGUGGGGUAAUGGCCUACCAAGGCGACGACGGGUAGCCGGCCUGAGAGGGUGAUCGGCCACACUGGGACUGAGACACGGCCCAGACUCCUACGGGAGGCAGCAGUGGGGAAUAUUGCACAAUGGGCGAAAGCCUGAUGCAGCGACGCCGCGUGAGGGAUGACGGCCUUCGGGUUGUAAACCUCUUUCAGCAGGGACGAAGCGCAAGUGACGGUACCUGCAGAAGAAGCACCGGCUAACUACGUGCCAGCAGCCGCGGUAAUACGUAGGGUGCGAGCGUUGUCCGGAAUUAUUGGGCGUAAAGAGCUCGUAGGCGGUUUGUCGCGUCGGCCGUGAAAACUUGGGGCUUAACCCCGAGCCUGCGGUCGAUACGGGCAGACUUGAGUUCGGCAGGGGAGACUGGAAUUCCUGGUGUAGCGGUGAAAUGCGCAGAUAUCAGGAGGAACACCGGUGGCGAAGGCGGGUCUCUGGGCCGAUACUGACGCUGAGGAGCGAAAGCGUGGGGAGCGAACAGGAUUAGAUACCCUGGUAGUCCAC